rnacentral:rRNA from 1 species
CCUACGGGUGGCUGCAGUGAGGAAUAUUGGUCAAUGGACGCUAGUCUGAACCAGCCAUGUCGCGUGCAGGAUGACUGCUCUAUGAGUUGUAAACUGCUUUUGUACGAGGGUAAACUCCGAUAUGUGUACUGCGUUGCAAGUACCGUACGAAUAAGGAUCGGCUAACUCCGUGCCAGCAGCCGCGGUAAUACGGAGGAUCCGAGCGUUAUCCGGAUUUAUUGGGUUUAAAGGGUGCGUAGGCGGUUUGGUAAGUUAGAGGUGAAAUGUUGGGGCUCAACCCCGAAACUGCCUCUAAUACUGGUAGACUAGAGUAUAGUAGCGGUAGGCGGAAUGUAUGGUGUAGCGGUGAAAUGCUUAGAGAUCAUACAGAACACCGAUUGCGAAGGCAGCUUGCCAAACUAUAACUGACGUUGAGGCACGAAAGCGUGGGUAGCAAACAGGAUUAGAUACCCGAGUAGUC